GCCGGUAUAGCUCAAUUGGUAGAGCAUUCGCUUUGUAAGCGAGCGGUUGGAGGUUCAAGUCCUUUUACCGGCACCA
rnacentral:tRNA from 1 species